AGCAGCCGCGGUAAUUCCAGCUCCAAUAGCGUAUAUUAAAGUUGUUGCAGUUAAAAGGCUCGUAGUUGAAUUUCGGGAUUUGUCAGUUGGUCGGGCUUCACUGUCCGUAUUGACUUGAUGGAUUCUUACCUUCUGAAUAACCAGCAUGCUAUUAAGUUAGUGCGUUGGGGAAGCAGACCUAUUACCUUGAAAAAUUAGAGUGCUUAAAGCGAGCUAGUGCUUGAAUAGAUUAGCAUGGAAUAAUAAAAUAGGACGGCAUGGUUCUAUUUUGUUGGUUUCUAGGAUCACCGUAAUGAUUAAUAGGGAUAGUUGGGGGCAUUAGUAUUCAAUUGUCAGAGGUGAAAUUCUUGGAUUUAUUGAAGACUAACUUCUGCGAAAGCAUUUGCCAAGGAUGUUUUCAUUAAUCAAGAACGAAAGUUAGGGGAUCGAAGACGAUCAGAUACCGUCGUA
rnacentral:rRNA from 1 species